CCUUGAUGGUGACCGGCGCACGGGUGAGUAACGCGUAUGCAACCUGCCCGAUACCGGGGUAUAGCCCAUGGAAACGUGGAUUAACACCCCAUAGUACUUUUAUCCUGCCUGGGAUGGGAGUUAAAUGUUCAAGGUAUCGGAUGGGCAUGCGUCCUAUUAGUUAGUUGGCGGGGUAACAGCCCACCAAGACGAUGAUAGGUAGGGGUUCUGAGAGGAAGGUCCCCCACAUUGGAACUGAGACACGGUCCAA
rnacentral:rRNA from 1 species